ensembl:snRNA U6 U6 spliceosomal RNA
GUACUUCCUUCAGCAGCACAUAUAUUAAAAUUAGAAUGAUACAGAGAAGGUUAACAUGGCCCCUACACAAGAAUAACAUGCGAAUUCACAAAGUGUUCCAUAUUUUU